AUGUGUGUGCCUAAAGAGAGGGGAGGCUUGGGGUACAGGGAUUUACACAGUUUUAAUCUAGCUCUUCUUGCUAAACAGGUUUGGAGGCUGCUCGAACACCCUGACUCUCUAUAUGCGCAGAUUUUGAGGGCCAAAUAUUACCCGGAUGGAAAGUUAUUGGAUGCUAAGUUGAAGAGUGGAAGCUCGUAUACAUGGCAAAGUAUCUACGCUGGAAUUAAUACCUUCAAGAGAGGUGCAAUAUGGCGCAUAGGGGAUGGAUCACAAGUGAACAUUUGGUCUGAUUCGUGGGUACAAUCGAGUGCUGAUGGCCAUGUUAUUACACCACGAGAAGGGACCCUUCUGUCUAAUGUUUUGGAAUUGAUCAAUCCUCUCACUGGCUUGUUGGAUCAAGAGUUGAUAAAUGAUGUGUUCUGGCCGGUAGAUGCGCACAGAAUUCUUGCAAUACCGUUGGCACCUCAUGGAAGGAUGGAAGACUUUGUGGCCUAGAGGUUUACAAAGAACCAUAUCUUCACGGUCAGAUCAGCUUACCAUGUUGAGUGGGAACAUCAAUUUGCCCCGAUGGUAUGA
rnacentral:rRNA from 1 species